GAUGAACGCUGGCGGCGUGCCUAAUACAUGCAAGUCGAGCGAACAGACGAGGAGCUUGCUCCUCUGACGUUAGCGGCGGACGGGUGAGUAACACGUGGAUAACCUACCUAUAAGACUGGGAUAACUUCGGGAAACCGGAGCUAAUACCGGAUAAUAUAUUGAACCGCAUGGUUCAAUAGUGAAAGACGGUUUUGCUGUCACUUAUAGAUGGAUCCGCGCCGCAUUAGCUAGUUGGUAAGGUAACGGCUUACCAAGGCGACGAUGCGUAGCCGACCUGAGAGGGGGAUCAGCCACACUGGAACGGAGGCACGGUCCAGACUCCUACGGGAGGCAGCAGUAGGGAAUCUUCCGCAAUGGGCGAAAGCAUGACGGAGCAACGCCGCGUGGGGGAUGAAGGUGUUCGGAUCGUAAAACUCUGUUAUUAGGGAAGAACAAAUGUGUAAGUAACUAUGCACGUCUUGACGGUACCUAAUCAGAAAGCCACGGCUAACUACGUG
rnacentral:rRNA from 1 species